CAAUAGCGUAUAUUAAAGUUGUUGCAGUUAAAAAGCUCGUAGUUGGAUUUCUGGUAGGAGCGACCGUGCCGAACUUGAUUGUUCGAGUAUUGUGUUGUCUUCAGCCAUCCUCGUGGAGAACUUUUCUAACAUUAACUUGUUGGGAUUGGGACCCGCGUCGUUUACUGUGAAAAAAUUAGAGUGUUUAAAGCAGGCAUUAGCUUGAAUACAUUAGCAUGGAAUAAUAAGAUAGGACUUUGGUACUAUUUUGUUGGUUUGCAUACCAAAUUAAUGAUCAACAGGAACAGUUUGAGGAUAUUCGUAUGAACAUGUCAGAGGUGAAAUUCUUGGAUUUUGAUCAGACGAACCACUGCGAAAGCAUUUAUCAAGGAUGUUUUCAUUAA
rnacentral:rRNA from 1 species